GUAGGUGGCAAGCGUUGUCCGGAAUUAUUGGGGCGUAAAGCGCGCGCAGGCGGUUCUUUAAGUCUGAUGUGAAAGCCCACGGGCUCAACCGUGGAGGGUCAUUGGAAACUGGAGAACUUGAGUACAGAAGAGGAAAGCGGAAUUCCACGUGUAGCGGUGAAAUGCGUAGAGAUGUGGAGGAACACCAGUGGCGAAGGCGGCUUUCUGGUCUGUAACUGACGCUGAGGCGCGAAAGCGUGGGGAGCAAACAGGAUUAGAUACCCUGGUAGUCCACGCCAUAAACGAUGAGUGCUAAGUGUUAGGGGGUUUCCGCCCCUUAGUGCUGCAGCUAACGCAUUAAGCACUCCGCCUGGGGAGUACGGCCGCAAGGCUG
rnacentral:rRNA from 1 species